rnacentral:rRNA from 1 species
UACAGAGGUCCCAAGCGUUGUUCGGAUUCACUGGGCGUAAAGGGUGCGUAGGUGGCCAGGUAAGUUCGGUGUGAAAGCUCGGAGCUUAACUCCGAAAUGGCAUUGAAUACUAUCUGGCUGGAGGGUCGGAGGGGAGACUGGAAUUCUCGGUGUAGCAGUGAAAUGCGUAGAUAUCGAGAGGAACACCAGUGGCGAAGGCGGCGACCUGGGCCAAUAUUGACGCUAAGGUGCGAAAGCGUGGGGAGCAAACAGG